UUGACCUCGGAUCAGGUAGGAAUACCCGCUGAACUUAAGCAUAUCAAUAAGCCGGAGGAAAACUC
rnacentral:rRNA from 1 species